CACCAGGCGCGAAAACUUUACAAUGCUGGCAACAGCGAUAAGGGGACCUCGAGUGCCAGGAUACAAUCUUGGCUGUCGCGAUGCCUAAAAAGCAUUGCAUAGCAAGGGCCGGGCAAGACCGGUGCCAGCCGCCGCGGUAACACCGGCGGCUCGAGUGGUAACCGCUAUUAUUGGGUCUAAAGGGUCUGUAGCCGGCCGGAUAAGUCUUUUGGGAAAUCCAGCUGCUCAACAGUUGGGCUUUCAGAAGAUACUGUUCGGCUCGAGACCGGGAGAGGUGAGAGGUACUUCAGGGGUAGGGGUGAAAUCUUGUAAUCCUUGAAGGACCACCAGUGGCGAAGGCGUCUCACCAGAACGGAUCUGACGGCAAGGGACGAAAGCUAGGGGCACGAACCGGAUUAGAUACCCGGGUAGUCCUAGCCGUAAACGAUACUCGCUAGGUGUCAGCCACGGUGCGACCGUGGUUGGUGCCGUAGGGAAGCCGUGAAGCGAGCCACCUGGGAAGUACGGCCGCAAGGCUGAAACUUAAAGGAAUUGGCGGGGGAGCACAAGGGCGAAUUCGCG
rnacentral:rRNA from 1 species